rnacentral:rRNA from 1 species
GACGAACGCUGGCGGCGUGCUUAACACAUGCAAGUCGAACGGAAAGGCCCUGCUUUUGUGGGGUGCUCGAGUGGCGAACGGGUGAGUAACACGUGAGUAACCUGCCCUUGACUUUGGGAUAACUUCAGGAAACUGGGGCUAAUACCGGAUAGGAGCUCCUGCUGCAUGGUGGGGGUUGGAAAGUUUCGGCGGCUGGGGAUGGACUCGCGGCUUAUCAGCUUGUUGGUGGGGUAGUGGCUUACCAAGGCUUUGACGGGUAGCCGGCCUGAGAGGGUGACCGGCCACAUUGGGACUGAGAUACGGCCCAGACUCCUACGGGAGGCAGCAGUGGGGAAUAUUGCACAAUGGGCGGAAGCCUGAUGCAGCAACGCCGCGUGCGGGAUGACGGCCUUCGGGUUGUAAACCGCUUUCGCCUGUGACGAAGCGUGGGUGACGGUAAUGGGUAAAGAAGCACCGGCUAACUACGUG